rnacentral:rRNA from 1 species
UACGGAGGAUGCGAGCGUUAUCCGGAUUUAUUGGGUUUAAAGGGUGCGUAGGCGGAAGGUUAAGUCAGCGGUCAAAUGUCGGUGCUCAACACCGGCCUGCCGUUGAAACUGGUCUUCUUGAGUGAGCGAGAAGUAUGCGGAAUGCGUGGUGUAGCGGUGAAAUGCAUAGAUAUCACGCAGAACUCCGAUUGCGAAGGCAGCAUACCGGCGCUCAACUGACGCUGAGGCACGAAAGCGUGGGGAUCGAACAG